AAGGGCACCACAAGAACGCGUGGAGCAUGUGGCUUAAUUUGACUCAACGCGGGAAAUCUUACCGGGUCCGGACACACUGAGGAUUGACAGGUGCUUGAGUUGACUCAUUUUUGGGUCUUCUCUAUAAAUAUGCUAGUCCUUUCAUGAUUGUGUGAUAGGUGGUGCAUGGCCGUUCUUAGUUCGUGGAGUGAUCUGUCUGCUUAAUUGCGUUUCACCCAGGGCUUUUAAAUUGUUCGUAUGUUUGGGUUGUUGGUGCUUCGGUAUCACCCCGACUACGACAAAAAAUGACCCUGAACGCAACGAACGUGACCG
rnacentral:rRNA from 1 species